UAUUUAUUGCAGAAGUGUGACUGCGAAUAAGUUUGAUGGCAACUCAGGAAUUUGAGGCGUUGACCAACAAUGCUGGAAGGGAAUGGGGGAACUUACAUUCAAAGAAUUGAUGAUGCUGAUCUUAUUUCCCCCAAUAUUCUCACCCGGAAAAUUAAUCAAUUAAAACUAUAAAAUUUCUUCCCCAACCGAGAAGCGGAAAAAAAGACAGAAAAAUAGAGGAUCUUUCACCUGGAUAUUUUUUUCUUUUUCUGUUUUAGGGGCGAGCACUAUAAAUUUGAUGCUUUAGUGGUUAAAUAAGGAAAUUUGAUAAUGUUGAUAAGUUUGAGUUGGUUGUUUUGCAGUUCUGGUACUACUCACCUCGCCUCAGGGGAAGCCAAAGUUUGUUACUUUCGAUGAUGAAUUGAUGGAGCACUCUGCCAUGUAGAUAUUCAAGACCUCUUUUGCUUUUACGAACAGGGCAGUCCAGUGCACGAAGCAUCCCUCGUUUGGUCCGGGAAGGGCCUCACCAAAAAUGCAAUAACCAAUCAAGGCAAAGGGGUACUUACAAUCCGGUAACAACUUUGUACCAUUUUCAAAGAAACUAAGAAAUGGAGUUAUAAGAAAGUGCGAAAUUCAAGUAAUAAUAUAGAUUGGUUAUUUCUAAUUACAAGAUAUAAUUUGUUAUGCCUAGUAGAUAUUGCUGUAUAUUUCAAGAACCAAAGUUUCAAGUUUUUUUCAAAAAUAUUAUUCAUGUGCACACAAGUCAGAAUAGUUAACUCAUUCGCACUCUAUCGAGGAUAUAACAAUGUGAUUGUGACUUCAUUUUUUGAACUGGCUGUCUGCGAUCCUGAUUUUGCUUCAUCAAAUAUGUUUCUUUCUGUGAAAUACCCUGGUUCUUUAGCUUCUGGCAGAGGACUCUCAUUACCCAACAUCAGAACCACAGAAGACAUGUUUGGCCUGUCUUCUGGACGUUGUUGCACACAUAAAAGACCUACUUGGAUUGACCUUAAAACUUGAGAUAUAUGGCAAGAAUCAGCUAGCUCCUCAUCAAUUAGUUCCAAGGACCUAUCUUCUUUGUAAAGCUUCCAUGCCUGUUUGAGUUUUGAUCAGGGAUCUAAUAAAUUCCAUGCGUUGUACAGAAAGAAAAUGAGUUAUGUAUGUGUAAUACAGACUAUAUAUAGAGUGCUUACAUGACCGAGAAGGUUAAGGUUGUGAUCUUGAUGGACAAAUCCUCUAUUUUUCUUGCAACUCACAAUUUCUAACACCAAGACGCCAAAGCUAAACACAUCAGAUUUUACUGAGAAGAUCCCAUCUACUGCAUAUUCAGGGGACAUGUAGCCACUGUGCC